AGAGUUUGAUCCUGGCUCAGGAUGAACGCUAGCGGCAGGCCUAACACAUGCAAGUCGAGGGGUAACAGGUGUAGCAAUACAUGCUGACGACCGGCGCACGGGUGAGUAACGCGUAUGCAACCUACCUUUAACAGGAGGAUAGCCCCGAGAAAUCGGGAUUAAUACUCCAUAAUAUUAUUGAACCGCAUGGUUUAAUAAUUAAAGUUUCGGCGGUUAAAGAUGGGCAUGCGUGACAUUAGUUAGUUGGUGAGGUAACGGCUCACCAAGACAGCGAUGUCUAGGGGUUCUGAGAGGGUAGUCCCCCACACUGGUACUGAGACACGGACCAGACUCCUACGGGAGGCAGCAGUGAGGAAUAUUGCGCAAUGGAGGCAACUCUGACGCAGCCAUGCCGCGUGCAGGAUGAAGGCCCUAUGGGUUGUAAACNNNNNNNNNNNNNNNNNNNNNNNNNNNNNGUGUGGGAGACUGACGGUACUAUACGAAUAAGCACCGGCUAACUCCGUGCCAGCAGCCGCGGUAAUACGGAGGGUGCAAGCGUUAUCCGGAUUUAUUGGGUUUAAAGGGCGCGCAGGCGGAAUGACAAGUCAGAGGUGAAAUCCUACAGCUUAACUGUAGAACUGCCAUUGAUACUGUUAGUCUUGAGUACAUUUGAAGUGGGCGGAAUGUGUCAUGUAGCGGUGAAAUGCUUAGAUAUGACACAGAACACCGAUCGCGAAGGCAGCUCACUAAACUGUAACUGACGCUGAGGCACGAAAGCGUGGGGAUCAAACAGGAUUAGAUACCCUGGUAGUCCACGCCGUAAACUAUGAUUACUAGUUGUUGGCGAUACAUUGCCAGUGACUGAGCGAAAGCAUUAAGUAAUCCACCUGGGGAGUACGUUCGCAAGAAUGAAACUCAAAGGAAUUGACGGGGGCCCGCACAAGCGGAGGAGCAUGUGGUUUAAUUCGAUGAUACGCGAGGAACCUUACCUGGGCUCGAACGGUGCAGGAAUACUGCUGAAAGGCUGAUUCCCUUCGGGGCUGCUUACAAGGUGCUGCAUGGUUGUCGUCAGCUCGUGCCGUGAGGUGUUAGGUUAAGUCCUGCAACGAGCGCAACCCUUACCUUUAGUUGCCAGCAUGUAAUGAUGGGGACUCUAAAGGAACUGCCUACGCAAGUAGUGAGGAAGGUGGGGAUGACGUCAAAUCAGCACGGCCCUUAUGUCCAGGGCGACACACGUGCUACAAUGGCCGAUACAAAGGGCAGCUACCAGGUGACUGGAUGCGAAUCUUUAAAAUCGGUCUCAGUUCGGAUCGGAGUCUGCAACUCGACUCCGUGAAGUUGGAAUCGCUAGUAAUCGUGGAUCAGCACGCCACGGUGAAUACGUUCCCGGGCCUUGUACACACCGCCCGUCACACCACGGGAGUUGGUUGUACCAGAAGCAGUUGAGCUAACCGCAAGGGGGCAGGCUGCCAAGGUAUGGCUGGUAACUGGGGUGAAGUCGUAACAAGGUAACC
rnacentral:rRNA from 1 species